GACGAACGCUGGCGGCGUGCUUAACACAUGCAAGUCGAACGGAAAGGCCCUGCUUUUGUGGGGUGCUCGAGUGGCGAACGGGUGAGUAACACGUGAGUAACCUGCCCUUGACUUUGGGAUAACUUCAGGAAACUGGGGCUAAUACCGGAUAGGAGCUCCUGCUGCAUGGUGGGGGUUGGAAAGUUUCGGCGGUUGGGGAUGGACUCGCGGCUUAUCAGCUUGUUGGUGGGGUAGUGGCUUACCAAGGCUUUGACGGGUAGCCGGCCUGAGAGGGUGACCGGCCACAUUGGGACUGAGAGACGGAGCAGACGCCUACGGGAGGCAGCAGGGGGGAAUAUUGCACAAUGGGCGGAAGCCUGAGGAAGCAACGCCGCGUGCGGGAUGACGGCCUUCGGGUUGGAAACCGCUUUCGCCUGUGACGAAGCGUGAGUGACGGUAAUGGGUAAAGAAGCACCGGCUAACUACGUG
rnacentral:rRNA from 1 species